rnacentral:misc_RNA from 1 species
UUUCCGUAGGUGAACCAGCGGAAGGAUCAUUAUUGUAUAACCGAGGUGCGAGGGCUGUCGCUGACCCGAAAGGUCGUGCACGCCCGAGUGCCCUCACACACAUCCAUCUCACCCCUAUGUGCACCACCGCGUGGGUCCCCCUUUGGCUUGUUCGGAGGGGGGCUUACGUUUUCACACAAACUUUGUAUGCAGUGUAGAAUGUAUUUUUUGUUUUUGCGAUCACGCAACCAAUACAACUUUCAACAACGGAUCUCUUGGCUCUC